rnacentral:lncRNA from 1 species
UCCCUCCAGGUAACGACCAGGCUCCAGUCCUGUUCCUCAACACUUCCAGGGCCCAGGAGGGGGAAACAGUUUUGGUUCAGUGUGCCAUUGAUGCUCAGUUUCCUGCUACGCGAGUUGUCUUCUGCAAGAACGGGCUGGAGGAGUUCAGCUUGAGGGCCCAGCACGGCAAGGUCAUCUACGCUCUGGUCCUCAACGUCACCUCGAGAAAUGCCGGGACGUACACGUGUGGGUACCAGCAGAGGAACGAGAGCAACUGGGUACAGCCCUUACCAACCAAGACAUCCACAGCUCCCCAGCUCCCCAUGCCCGGCUCCCGCACGCCCUCCCCACAGGCACGGCGCUGGCAGUGGCGGCCGUCGGCCUCGUCCUCCUGGCUGCAGGCAGCUGGUUUGCCAUCAGGAAAGGUGAGG